AUAUAUCUUUCUCUCUCUCUGUCCCUUUCGUUGGCCCCUCCAAGACGACCGGUGUGCCCCACUCCCUCCCAUGGAAGCCCUCCGCGCUACUGCGCUCAUGCUUUCCUUCCCUCUCCCACCCUCUCCGCGCAUAAACCUUCUCACUCUGUCCCUCUCCCUCUUGCUCCUCUCUCUCUCUCUCUCUCUCUCUCUCUCUUUUCUCCUAUCUAUCGCGUUCCUCGCACUCUCUCGCUCCCUCGUUGGUUCGGUACGCUGCGCGCGCUCCCUCCGGCGGAGGCCAGAGGGAGAGAAGCGGAGGGCAGAAGAGGGAGCGAGAGGAAGAUAGAGAGAGAGUAAGAGUGCAGAAACGGUGGGGCUGGCUCUGUUCGGUCUUGCGCGGCGCACACUAGUCAACCCGGAGCCACGGUCGUCGUAGGAACUGUUGUAGGAACUGUCGUAGGAACCGCCGUAGGAACCGCCGUAGGAACCGUCGUUUUCUCGUUUCUCGCGAGGGACACCGCUUGGUGCUCGUUAUUAUAUUUGUCCUCGUUUUGUUCGUCGUCGGUUCGUUCCGGCGUUUCUUUGAGAAAUUUCAAAAGAUAUCUCGAAAAAUGAAUUAAAAGAAAAAAAAAAAAAAAAAAAAAAGAAGAAAAAAGAAAGAAAAAAACAAGAAACACCAACGACAGGAGAGAGAGUGCGCGAGUGUACGGAAUAAAUUGAAGAUAUAUAGAGAGAAAAAGAGAGACUAAAUACAGAAAGAUUUUUAAUUUCUUAAGGGUGCUCUCUCUUUCUCUCUCCCUCUACGCAUACCACAAGUGAGCACACGUACGCGCGCGCGCGCGUGCGCGGGCGCAUAGUUUCCGCCGCGAAAAAGUAUUGCGUGCCCGUACGUGGACCGAUGGCAAAACUGCGGAUGGCGAUCGUGGCGCGAAGAGUCGCAAAGUUCUCUUCUACGGCGCCGCCUCGUGCUCGAAGAGUCGCGGAAGAGAAUACGACGGGGUCGUGACUGUCCCCCGCGUGCGUGCCACCAGUCGACGCCCCGAUCGAGAACGUCCGAGUUCUCUCUUCGGCUCUCGGGAGGAUCGUCAUAGAUACACCGGUCUUUUUAUCGAAGUGUUGUGCGGUGCUCUUAGAGAGUAUCGACGUUUCUUGGGACUUCCUAGUGACACCUUUAUUCCCUCUCUCUCAUUCGUUCUCUAUCUCUCUUUCUCUCUCCCUCUCUCUCCCUCUCUCUCCCUCUUUCUCUAUCUCUCUCUCUCUCUCUCUCUCUCUCUCUCUUUCUCAUUUUCUGUCUCUUCCACUGUCUCUAUCCACCGUCUUUUUUCUCCCUACCUACGUAUCUCUACCACCCCUAUCAUCCCUAACCCCCAAGAAUCCCUCGUCGACGUUGUCUCGUGCAGUGCGAAGGAAAUACACGAAUGAAUCGUUUCUCUUGUGCUAUUCGGUGAAAGUGAAUCAAAUGAUAAUAAUAAUGAUAAUCGAAAGUUGUGAAAAAAACGACGUAUGAAACGGAGGUGGUGAUCCAAAGAUUCUUUGAGAUUCUUCGUACGAUAGUAUAGGUGUGCAACGACAGUGCAUUCGACGAGGAACUUUUGCUACUUCUAUUACUACUACUGUGAUUUAUGUAUAUACACGCUCGAAGAAGAAAAGAGGAUCGAUCCUCGAAACUCGUCCCGUUUAAAUUUCUCUCUCGGUACUUCGCGGUGACUCAUUUCGGCGAAAGUAAGACGCGCCGCCCGGAAAGGAGAGUUUCUGAUCCGACGAGAAAGGAAAGACGAUUAAAAGUAUAAGCAUGUCGCGUCUUCGAACGAAGAUCAUCGUUGACGAGUACACUGGAUUCGAUAAUAACUUUAUCGUUGCCUCGGGAAAAAGCACGACGAGUUGGUUGGGAGUGAUUCGAGUGCGUGGCGAUUAGAUAUAGGGCGAUAGUUUUUCCCUAGGAUCGAAAAGAAGAGAAGAAAAGAAGGGCAAAGAAAAGAAAAGAAAAGAAAAGAAAAGAAAGGAAAAGAAAAGAAAAGGAAGGAAGGAAGGAAGGAAGGAAGGAAAGAA